UACAGAGGUCCCGAGCGUUGUUCGGAUUUAUUGGGCGUAAAGAGCGUGUAGGCGGCCUGAAAGGUCAGCUGUGAAAACUCGAGGCUCAACCUCGAGACGUCGGUUGAAACCAUCUGGCUAGAGUCCGGAAGAGGAGUGUGGAAUUCCCGGUGUAGCGGUGAAAUUCGUAGAUAUCGGGAGGAACACCAGUGGCGAAGGCGGCUCUCUGGAGCAGUGACUGACGC
rnacentral:rRNA from 1 species